rnacentral:rRNA from 1 species
GACGAACGCUGGCGGCGUGCUUAACACAUGCAAGUCGAACGAGAAAGCACCUUCGGGUGUGAGUACAGUGGCGAACGGGUGAGUAACACGUGGGCAACCUGCCCUGGAGACUGGGAUAACGUUCCGAAAGGGACGCUAAUACCGGAUGACGCGCGAUCUGCCAAGUAGGUCGCGCCAAAUGGUAGCUUCGGCUUCUACUCUGGGAUGGGCCCGCGCCGGAUUAGCUAGUUGGUGAGGUAAGAGCUUACCAAGGCAACGAUCCGUAGCUGGUCUGAGAGGAUGAUCAGCCACACUGGGACUGAGACACGGCCCAGACUCCUACGGGAGGCUG